rnacentral:rRNA from 1 species
UACGUAGGGUGCAAGCGUUGUCCGGAAUUAUUGGGCGUAAAGAGCUCGUAGGCGGUUUGUCGCGUCUGCUGUGAAAUCCCAGGGCUUAACCCUGGGCCUGCAGUGGGUACGGGCAAACUAGAGUGCGGUAGGGGAGAUCGGAAUACCUGGUGUAGCGGUGAAAUGCGCAGAUAUCAGGAGGAACACCGGUGGCGAAGGCGGAUCGCUGGGCCGUAACUGACGCUGAGGAGCGAAAGCAUGGGUAGCGAACAGG